AUUGAACGCUGGCGGCAUGCCUUACACAUGCAAGUCGAACGGUAACAGGUCUUCGGAUGCUGACGAGUGGCGAACGGGUGAGUAAUACAUCGGAACGUGCCUAGUAGUGGGGGAUAACUACUCGAAAGAGUGGCUAAUACCGCAUGAGAUCUACGGAUGAAAGCAGGGGAUCGCAAGACCUUGUGCUACUAGAGCGGCCGAUGGCAGAUUAGGUAGUUGGUGGGAUAAAAGCUUACCAAGCCGACGAUCUGUAGCUGGUCUGAGAGGACGAUCAGCCACCCUGGGACUGAGACACGGCCCAGACUCAUACGGGAGGCAGCAGUGGGGAAUUUUGGACAAUGGGCGCAAGCCUGAUCCAGCAAUGCCGCGUGCAGGAUGAAGGCCUUCGGGUUGUAAACUGCUUUUGUACGGAACGAAAAGCCCUGGGUUAAUACCCUGGGGUCAUGACGGUACCGUAAGAAUAAGCACCGGCUAACUACGUGCCAGCCGCCGCAGUAAGAC
rnacentral:rRNA from 1 species